UCCGGUUUGUACCGGCGGUCUCCCUAGACGUGAUAACUAGGGACAGGGGUUGCGCUCGUUGCGCCACUUAAGGCAACACCUCACGGCACGAGCUGACGACGGCCAUGCACCACCUGUGCGGGCCCCGAAGGGCCCCGUGUUUCCACGGGUUUACCCCGCAUGUCAAGCCCUGGUAAGGUUCUUCGCGUCGCGUCGAAUUAAGCCACAUGCUCCGCCGCUUGUGCGGGCCCCCGUCAACUCCUUUGAGUUUUAGCCUUGCGGCCGUACUCCCCAGGCGGGGUGCUUAAUGCGUUAGCUGAGGCACGGACGGAGUCGACACCGCCCACACCUAGCACCCAUCGUUUACGGCGUGGACUAC
rnacentral:misc_RNA from 1 species